rnacentral:miRNA from 1 species
CCAUUUUCCGCGAUUGCCUUGAUGA